CUAGGUGGCCCUGAAUGCUUAGGCCGGACUCUGCCAGUGGCCUGUAGUUUGAGGACCCCUGGUCUAAUAUAUCCCACAUCUUGACAGGUGCCAUUGCAAUAUUAUCAAUGUUUUAUUUGUGAGUAGUUUUAAUAUUUUUGCUGAAUAGUGUAUACACACAACACACACCCCUCUACUCAGAAACUCAUGUCCAACAGUCCUGAUUUUGUGGUCCUGACACGCUGUCCCGAUUUAGUUUCUUGGUGUCCAACAUUUGUGAAACCAGAGAGCUGUCUUCAGGGCAGCAUAUUGCGAGCAACAUUAGAUGCACUUGUACUCUGCAAAGGGCAAUGAAAGCUUCAGUAGCGCUCUCUGUAAGCUCCUGCAAACUGGGGUCCAGUCACAUAGGACCCUUAAGUACUUCAGUGGGCAGUCCAGCCCCUUUUCCCCAUUGGCUUGUGCUACGGACCGCCUGGCACCCUGACUGGGUACCUCCAUCAAUCGCUGCUCCCUAGUGCUUGCGAGCACCAUAAGCACCGCACUGGAACACCAUAAACACCGUAAACCCCACAAACAACCACAGCUUGGUUGAGGUCUCGCUGUCCUCCAAACACCCUGGACCUAAGAACAGGAUCCAGCUUCCAGUGGGUAGACCUCUCCUAGUCCAGACAGUGAAG